rnacentral:rRNA from 1 species
UACGUAGGGACCAAGCGUUGUUCGGAUUUAUUGGGCGUAAAGAGCUCGUAGGCGGCUUGUUGCGUCGACCGUGAAAACUUGGGGCUCAACCCCAAGCCUGCGGUCGAUACGGGCAGGCUCGAGUUCGGUAGGGGAGACUGGAAUUCCUGGUGUAGCGGUGAAAUGCGCAGAUAUCAGGAGGAACACCGGUGGCGAAGGCGGGUCUCUGGGCCGAAACUGACGCUGAGGAGCGAAAGCGUGGGGAGCAAACAGG